CUGCCCUUAAGUGGGGGAUAACAUUUGGAAACAGAUGCUAAUACCGCAUAAAUCCAAGAACCGCAUGGUUCUUGGCUGAAAGAUGGCGUAAGCUAUCGCUUUUGGAUGGACCCGCGGCGUAUUAGCUAGUUGGUGAGGUAACGGCUCACCAAGGCAAUGAUACGUAGCCGAACUGAGAGGUUGAUCGGCCACAUUGGGACUGAGACACGGCCCAAACUCCUACGGGAGGCAGCAGUAGGGAAUCUUCCACAAUGGACGCAAGUCUGAUGGAGCAACGCCGCGUGAGUGAAGAAGGCUUUCGGGUCGUAAAACUCUGUUGUUGGAGAAGAAUGGUCGGCAGAGUAACUGUUGUCGGCGUGACGGUAUCCAACCAGAAAGCCACGGCUAACUACGUGCCAGCAGCCGCGGUAAUACGUAGGUGGCAAGCGUUAUCCGGAUUUAUUGGGCGUAAAGCGAGCGCAGGCGGUUUUUUAAGUCUGAUGUGAAAGCCCUCGGCUUAACCGAGGAAGUGCAUCGGAAACUGGAAAACUUGAGUGCAGAAGAGGACAGUGGAACUCCAUGUGUAGCGGUGAAAUGCGUAGAUAUAUGGAAGAACACCAGUGGCGAAGGCGGCUGUCUGGUCUGU
rnacentral:rRNA from 2 species